UUUUAGUGAAAAAGUGAAACAAUCGGAGGAGAUUGAAUCGAUUGAAUCGGAGGAGCUUGAACCUAUUGAUGCUAGAGCCAUCGCAGAGGCUGUUUCUGGUGGCGACGAUGUGUUGUUUGGGAGCAAAAUCCCAGAAGUUUCUUAGGCAAAUAUAGAGAGAAACUGAGUGAGAGCUUGGUGAUUGAAGUGUUGCGUUUGAUACAGAGACUUUCUGAUGUUAUCAGCUUCUUCGUUUGGGCAGGUAGGCAGAUUGGUUAUAAGCAUACUCCUCUGCUUCUUUGGGUUCAUCGGGAAAUGUCUCUUGCAAAUCUUCGGAUGGAUGGGUUUACACUUAGAUGCUUUGCUUAUUCUCUCUGUAAACUGAAAAUUUUGUCCCUGAUACUGUCUUUUAUACAAAAUUGAUAUCUGGUCUGUGUGAAGCUUCGCUUUUUGAAGAGGCUUGAAUAGGAUGCGAGCUACUUCCUCCUGUCUUCCAAAUGUUGUAACAUAAAAAAAAACAGCUGGGCAGGUGUAAAAGGGUGCUUAAUAUGAUGAUGAUGGAAGGUUGUUAACGAAAUGUCGUCGAUCGAGCAGAAGGAAGAGUCCAAAGGCAAUUUAAUUUAAACACCUGAGUUUAAGACCGAGCAAGAGAGGAAGGAAGCCGCUGAACAGUCGCUCAAAGGCUAUGAGGCUCCAACACAAGCUGCAAGCACUGAGCUUCAUUCAUUCGAUCCAUCCGAUUCGUCUUGUCCUUGCUCUCAACUUCUCUGUUUUCUACUAACCAUAUACAAAAAAAGAUGGGAGAAGAUAAAUGAAACAAAAAUCUCUUCUUCUUGCUCUGUCAUGGUUCUUCCUUAUCAAAGAAACUCUGAGGCAAGGUUUGAAUCAGAGAUUGUUUCAAGAUUGAAACAUGGAUGAUUCGGGUUUUCUGCAUUUGAUUCCACGUUCAGUGCACAAGAGAGGAAUCAAAGAGAAAUCUAAGUUCAAUGCUACAAGGCUAACACAAGUCUGUGUUUAGUGCUGGCUUCAUUACUGAAGAAGAGACUAAGGAAUUGUUGAUCAUAAGCUCAAUGUUGUUUUGGUUGUUUGUUCCUUCAGAUCAAAGGGCUUGGGAAGUUGAAUUAGAUUAGAUUCAAAAAACU